AUUGAACGCUGGCGGCAUGCCUUACACAUGCAAGUCGAACGGUAACAGGUCUUCGGAUGCUGACGAGUGGCGAACGGGUGAGUAAUGCAUCGGAACGUGCCCAGUUGUGGGGGAUAACUGCUCGAAAGAGCAGCUAAUACCGCAUACGACCUGAGGGUGAAAGCGGGGGAUCGCAAGACCUCGCGCAAUUGGAGCGGCCGAUGUCAGAUUAGGUAGUUGGUGGGGUAAAGGCCUACCAAGCCGACGAUCUGUAGUUGGUCUGAGAGGACGACCAGCCACACUGGGACUGAGACACGGCCCAGACUCCUACGGGAGGCAGCAGUGGGGAAUUUUGGACAAUGGGCGCAAGCCUGGUCCAGCAAUGCCGCGUGCAGGAAGAAGGCCUUCGGGUUGUAAACUGCUUUUGUCAGGGAAGAAAUCCUCUGGGUUAAUACCCCGGGGGGAUGACGGUACCUGAAGAGUAAGCACCGGCUAACUACGUGCCAGCCGCCGCGGUAACAC
rnacentral:rRNA from 1 species